AUGAGAGGACCCUGGAGGUCAAGCUGGAAAGGGUCUCCAGAGGCCAAAUCAUCUAUCCAGUCUGCUCAUUUAAUGGAGAAGGAGCUGGAGGCCCAGAGAGGAGGGAAAUGUGUCCAAGGUGGCCCCAAAAGCAGGACUCCCUCCUCUGAAAUCCCGAAGAGAAGUGAGAGCAUCACUUCCUGUGAUGGAGAGAGCAGGUGGGGCUCAGUCUGCCCCCGACCAAGACCAGUGAAGGCCACAGCCUAUGGGAACCCCAUAGUGUGGGCAUGCCUGGGCUGCCCUGGGAGAACCGAACAGCGAGGCCCUGGGGUAUCCCGGCUCUCCCUCUGUGUUUGGUUUGAGAGACACAGUGAAGACACCGAGUGAGGAGGAGGAAGGGCAAACAGCUCGGAUCGCUUUUCUCAAUCCUCGGAAGGAGAAACUGAGGCCCGGUGAAGUCAUAGCCUCAUGGACUCCUAUGGACUUGAGACAUCAUCUAGCCCAAAGUGUGGAGCCAUUUUUACGGAAAGGGGAAACUGAGCCCCAGGGAAGGGAAGAGACUGAUUCAAAGUUACCAUCAGAUUACAGAGUUAUCAAGAGCUUAAAGGGAAGCUUAUGCAUCACUGAGUCCAACUCCAUCAUAUAGACAGGAAACGGAGGCCCCAAGUAGGAAGUAACCCAGAGCCAGGAUCUCAACUCCAUUCUCUGGCUUCCAGCUCCAGGCCUCUUUUUAUGGUGCCAUUCUGCCUCCCCUCUCUGUCAUUCCUUGGACUCGGCUACAACUGGGCUCUGCCUGGGGCUGGCUGCUCCUAGGGCUAAAGGAGAGGCCGCACAGCCUGCCUCUACCCUGGCCCAGGAACUUCUUCCUCCUGAAAUCUUAGCCCAAAGAAACUUGCUUUUCUGCCUGAUUGAAGGGCUUCCCCCGAGCCACCAUCUUCAUUUCUCUCCAGGUCACACACACACGCACACACAGCUUUAAUGCUGAUUGGUGGUGUCCAAGAGUGAAGAGUUCAUUUGAUCCUCAGAAUAAAGAGUGGCAAGGUGAGGGAAGGUACUAUUAU
rnacentral:lncRNA from 1 species